AUUGAACGCUGGCGGCAGGCCUAACACCUGCAAGUCGAACGAGUGGCGGACUGUUGAGUAAUGUCUGGGAAACUGCACGAUGUAGGGGGAUAACUACUGGAAACGGUAGCUAAUACCGCAUACCAUCGGACGUGCCCAGAUGGGAUUCGCUUGGUGGGGGGGUAAAGGCUCACCUAGGCGACGAUCCCUAGCUGGUCUGAGAGGCUGACCAGCCGCAGUGGAACUGAGACACGAGCCAGACUCCUACGGGGGUCAGCAGAGGCGGAUAUUGCACAAUGGGCGCAAGCCUGAUGCAGCCACGCCGCGUGUAUGAAGAAGGCAUUCGGGUUGUAAAGUACUUUCGGCGGGGAGGCGUAACCCUUAGAUGAAGCACCUGCUAACUCCGUGCUAGCAGCCGCGGUAAUUC
rnacentral:rRNA from 1 species